CGCACAUUGCGCCCUUUGGUAUUCCUUAGGGCAUGCUUGUUCGAGCGUCAUUCUCACCUUCCAGGCCCCGCUUGGUUAUGGGCGCCCUUGUCCCGCCUUUUCGCGCGCGGACUCGCCUUAAGCACAUUAGGUAGCCGGCUCCGUCAGCCUCUGAGCGCAGUAGAAACGCGUCUCUGGACGGCGUGGGUGGCAGCCCUUGAGAAAAAAAGACCCCUCGAAGGACCUCGAAUCAAGCAGGAGUACCCGCUGAACUUAA
rnacentral:misc_RNA from 1 species